rnacentral:lncRNA from 1 species
CUUACUUCAUCUCACUUAUUUAAAUAUUGAGUAAAUUUCUUUCUUUUCCUUCUGUGCACCUUCUUCACCCCACCCUAGCCAGGUGGGAGAUUUUCUCUUCACUAUCAGUGAAGGCUUCAAGAUUUUCUUUGACGCCUUAUGAAUAAAUAACUCUUGAUGGCCAGAGUCAGCAACAUUAGAAUGUGCAAGUCGCUUAGUUACAUCUUGGAGUUCCGUGGCUUGUUACGCAUUGCUGAACAUUCAAUGCCCAGGAUACAAUACUCUGACCAUGAAAAACAAUCAAGUGAAGCCUAGGACAACUUGAGCAACCAAAAGAAGUAAUAAUAUCUGCUAUGGUUUAAAUGUGUUCUCCAAAUUUCAUGUGUUGGAAACUCAAUACCCAAGUAUAUAUCCUGAUAGCAUUUGGAGGUAGAGUAUUUAAAGGUAAUUAGGAUGAUAAAGUCAUCCAGAUGGGGAACCCAUGAUGAGGUUGAUUGCUUUGUUCAGGAACAGAGACCUGAGCUGGCACACAUUUGCCCUUUUGCCAUGUGAUGCUUCUGCCAUGUUAUGAUGCUGCAAGAAAAGCCUCACCAGAUGUGAUCUCUCUACUUUGGACUUCCCAGCCUCCAGAACUGUAAAACAUAAAUUGAUUUUCUUUAUAAAUUGUUCAGUCUGUGGUACUCUGUUAUAGCAACAGAAAAUGGACUAAGAAAAUAUCCAAAAAAACAUCUCCAGAAAGACUCUAGAUAGUAGAAUUAUCAGACACAGGCUUAAAAAUAAUUAUAUUUGCCUGCUUACAGUUAUAAAAGACAAUUUUAACAGAGGAUUGAAAAGAAA